rnacentral:rRNA from 1 species
CGCCUGUUUAUCAAAAACAUGGCUUUCUGAGAAACAUGGGGGGUCGUGCCUUCCCAGUGGGUAUACGAGCCUAAACGGACGCGGUAAAUCGUGCUAAGGUAGCUAAAUUAUGGCCUAUUAAUUGUAGGUCCUGUGAAUGGUUUGACGAGUCUUCGUCUGUCUCAAGGUUAUUUUAGUGAACUUGAAUUAAAUGUGCAAAUGCAUUUAUAGGUGAGAAAGACGAGAAGACCCCGUGAAGUUAGAAAUUUUUACUGUAGCGUAACCCCUUAAUAUAUAAUAUUUGUCGCUUAAUCAUUGACUACCUAAUACUAUUUAGUGCUGGUGUAGCGGGGGUUGAGGGAUAAGCAGAGGAGUGCAGUUAAUAGGUUUUGGCUGGGGCAGCAAAAAGGCAAAUCUAGACCUUUUUAGUUUAUUAACGGGUGCGUUAUGAUCCACAUAAGAGGGUAAAUGUGCAUAGCAGAAGAAGUUACUCCGGGGAUAACAGCGUUAUCCACCCUGACAGUUCUUAUAGAUGGGUGGGUUUGCGACCUCGAUGUUGGCUCUGGGUAUCCUGAGGCUGUAGGCGGUCUCGAAGGUUGGUUUGUUCGCCCAUUAAAACCCGACGUGAUCUGAGUUCAGACCGG